GGUGGCCUUUUCAAGUUUAACGUCAAAUCACAGGGCUCAACCUUGGACAUGCGGUGGAAACUACCAAGCUGGAGUACAGUUUGGGUAGACAAAAUUUCCAGUAAAGCGGUGGAAUGUAUUGAGAUCGGAAAGAGCACCAAUAACGAAAGCACUCUGCUGUUGGGGUCUUCGGCU
rnacentral:ncRNA from 1 species